GCACCCGUAGUUCAACUGGAUAGAACGCCUGGCUUCGGACCAGGAGGUUGUGGGUUCGAGUCCUACCGGGUGUA
rnacentral:tRNA from 1 species